AUGCUUAGGGUUCCAGGACUGAUGUUUGUCUGUUUUACUUAGUUGUUCGGGUCUUUGCUGUGGAGGAAUGGUGUGGUGCUUCUGCCUAUAGUGCCAUGUUGGCUCCCUCAAGCCACUCUUAAAUUUAGUUUAUGAAGUUCACCCUGAUUUUUAUUCUCACUGUACUGAUAUUUCUUGGGAGGUAUCUAAGAAGAUCUUCAACUCCACUCAGCCUCUUCCUCUUUCUCCAUGCCAAGAGUUGGCUUAUUCACAAAUCAAAAAUUGUAAAUUGGUGUCCACUCCUACAGCUGGAGGGAGAAAGAGUUGACCCAGUGAAGCCCUCGAUGCCUGGCGCAGUCUCAGCCUUGGAGAACAGAAGGGUCAUCCUUCCUUCAAAAAACCUCUGACUUUGGUCAGGUGAAGCUUGAUUUAGAGGCAGAAUUUGGAAAGGAUCUCAAAGAGGUGCUUAUUUUUGGUGAAACCAAUGAGAACAGUUUCCCGGAUCCUCCAUGAGCCUGUUCUGGAGAGUGUGAGACCUCCCAAACCUCAGGACCCCAGUCGUGUGAACCCUGGUGGGUCCUUAGAUUGCCAAGCAGUCCAGGAUAUUGCCAGCUUCCCUUUGAUGUGAAGCCAGACCCUUCAUGGCAUCCUCAUACCCUCCACCAUCUUUAAUUUUUCCUUUUUACACCUAAAAAUUCUAUCUUAUCCCCCCAAAUUUUAAUGCUUCCUUUAUAUCAUCCAAUAUCUAGUCACACUUUGAAUUUCCCCUACUGCCUCACGAAUCUCUUUUUGCAGUUAAUUUGUUUGAAUCAGGCACCAAAACAAGCCCCACGCACUGCAUUUAGCUAGUAUGUCUCAUAAGUCUCUUUUAAGCAGUAAGCCCCCCAUUUCUUUCCUUGCCAUGUAUUCAUUGAAGAAUCUGAAGCAUUUGUCCUAUAAAAUUUUUUGUAUUCUGUAUUUUUCCAGUUGCAUUCCAUUAGUGGUGUGUUCCUCUCUCCCCAGCAUUUUUUGUAAACUAGUAGAUCUCGAGGUCCUUAGGUGAUGCAAACGGUUUGCACUUGACUGCCAACCUAAAGGUUGGCGGUUCGAACACACCCAAAGGUACCAUAGAAGAAAGCCCUGGUGACUUGCUUCUGUGAAGACUGCAGCCAAGAAAACCCUAUGGAGCAGUUCUACUUUGUAACACAUGGGGUCACUAUGAGUUGGAAUCAACUCGACAGCAACUAACAACAGUUAGAUUUCAAGACUGGUUUAGAUUCAGCUUUGGAGGGGGAUUUGUUUUGUUUUGUAUUUUUGGGCAAGUAGACUUCAUAGGUGGGGCUAUUUCAUUUGUGACUUUAAGAUCAGGCAGUAGGUUCAAGUGAGGUCAGCCUGACCCGUCUAUUACAUGGUGCUUCAUCCUUCUCUCACCUAAUGAGUUUAGCAGUCAUUGAUGACUAUUGCCUAAAUUCACUACCUCACGAGGGCUUGCAAAAUGAUGGCAUUCAGAUUCCAUUAUUCCUUCUGUAUUUACUAAUCAGAAUUCUUCUGCAAAAAACUUUCCUUCAGCAAUAUUUGGUUACCUUGUUAUACAGUUUGUACAGGAAAGGCAAGAUAAAUGCUUGAUUCUUUGACUGAGUGGUGUCCAAAAUAAUGAAUUGGUUCCUUAACAUUCCCUAAAGGUGGUCAGAUUCGUUUUUUUGAAUGUGGAUGUCCAGGUGUUCCAACACCAUUUGUUGAACAGACUAUCCUUUCUCCAUUGUAUUGCCUUGCUCCAUGCCAAAGAUCAGUUGACUGUAUUUGUGUGCGUCUAUUUCUGGGCUCUCUGUUCUGUUCCAUUGAUCUAUUUGCCUAUUGAUUUGCCAAUACCACAGUGCAUUGAUUACUUUCAUGUUGUUUUUGGCUACAUUUUCUUUGCUUUUACCUUCUCCAAUAUUUUGGAAGGCAUUGUAUCACCUUUUAAUUCUUUCCAUAUUUACCUGUAACUUUU